UCCUCCUCUGCCUUUGCCUUGUGCUUCCACUGAGCCCCGGUGUCAGUUGGGAAUGCCCUAAGCAGCGUGUCUACCAGUGUGCGCUUGUAGUCGCGCAUCUUCCGAUCACGCUUCAGUGAGGGAAUUAAGGACGGCACGUUGUCCUUGUAAUGGGGAUCCAGCAGGGUGGCCACCCAGUAAUCAGCACAAGUUAGAAUGUGGGCAACUCGGCAGUCGUUGCGCAGGCACUUUGGUGACUCUAGAUAACCUCGGGCCGAUUGCACGUCCCCGUGACGGCGACGACGCAUUCGGAUGUCUGCC